rnacentral:rRNA from 1 species
ACGUAGGGGGCCAGCGUUGUUCGGAAUUACUGGGUGUAAAGGGUCAGUAGGCGGUGUGGCAAGUCGGGAGUGAAAUCUCUGGGCUCAACUCAGAGGCUGCUUCCGAAACUGCUGUGCUUGAGUGUGGGAGAGGCGCGUGGAAUUGCAGGUGUAGCGGUGAAAUGCGUAGAGAUGUGGAGGAACACCAAUGGCGAAGGCAGCCUUCUGGGCCAACACUGACGCUCAUGCACGAAAGCGUGGGGAGCAAACAGGA